rnacentral:rRNA from 1 species
UACGGAGGGAGCGAGCGUUGUUCGGAAUUACUGGGCGUAAAGCGUGCGCAGGCGGAUUUUCAAGUCAGAAGUGAAAUCCCAGGGCUCAACCCUGGAAUUGCUUUUGAAACUGGAUAUCUAGAGUCUCGGAGAGGUUGGCGGAAUUCCCAGUGUAGCAGUGAAAUGCGUAGAUAUUGGGAGGAACACCAGUGGCGAAGGCGGUUGCCUGGAGCUUUGCUGACGCUGAUGCGCGAAAGCGUGGGGAGCGAUCCGG